UACAGAGGAGCCAAGCGUUGUCCGGAUUGACUGGGCGUAAAGCGCGGGCAGGCGGCCUGUCAAGUGGGAUGUGAAAGCGCCCGGCUAAACCGGGCGAGGCCAUUCCAAACUGGCAGGCUGGAGGGCAGUAGAGGUGGGUGGAAUUCCCAGUGUAGCGGUGAAAUGCGUAGAUAUUGGGAGGAACACCAGUGGCGAAGGCGGCUCACUGGACCGGAACUGACGCUGAGGCGCGAAAGCGUGGGGAGCAAACAGG
rnacentral:rRNA from 1 species